UUGUAUGAGCAGCUGAAUUUUUUUCACAUAUUGCUCAUUGAAUACUAUAACAUGCUUUCCGGGAGAAAACAAGUAUAUCCAUUGUACCUGUUAAUGCUUGCUUUAUUUAGAGCUGGGGAAUGUGCAGAAGAAGUAACUCAGUCUUCUCAAGUAAACGUUUUGGAUGGGAAAGACGUCACUAUAUUUUGCAAUCAUUCUGUAUCUGCAGCUCAAAAUAUUCAGUGGUAUAGUCAGAUGGCUUUUGCAAGUCCUAAAUUUGUAAUACUCAACUAUAGUGGAAAAACAAGUGAAGAACGAUACACAAUAGAUACUGACAGAAAAGCAAUGACAACAAACCUUACCAUAUGGGAUGUGACAAUCGCAGACACAGCUUCUGUCUACUACUGUGCAGUGAGUGACACAGUAACACAAAACCUAUCCAGUAGAAAACCAUAAACCCUGGGUAUACGAGAACGCACUUUACGGUGUAUCUUGCUAUAAGCAUUUUUGUUUUUUUCCCCAAGGCAUUAUGGGAAGUCAUUUCUUUCAUAGUGACUAUUAUUUAUUCUGUGAUUGCCAAAAUUAAAUUCUUUCCUUUGUUAAUGUUAACAUGAUACUUUAAAAUAAACUGACAGAUGUAUUACUGCCAUGGAUGCUUUUAACCUAAUUCACAACCUAACACUGUUAGCUGAAAGAUGGUUUCAUAAUGUUCAGUGACUAUUUGCAUUCAGGUAUUACUGUCUGGAUAUGGCAUCUAGAUUUUACAAAUGCCAUGUCAACAAGGAUAACGCAAUAUUAACAACAAAACCUUUACACCAAGACUGUAUUAAAAUAAAUGUUUUGUGUUAGGCUUAGCCAGGGUUAUAUAUACAGCAAAGUUUUACAAAGAGUCCCUCCUUGAUUUUAAUUCCAUUCUUAUACUUUUCCUAAGUAUUGCUUAUGUUCAGCUUUAAAAAUCAUUUGUGAAUAAUUUUAAUAUUAUUUUGCUUAGAUGAACUGAAAUGGCAAACUUUUGUUUCAUAUUUUUUCUUAUACUAAAUCAUUUUUAUGUCUGUGAUGAUGAAUAAAAUUCAGUACCCAUUAGCAGUUAAUUAUUCAAUAAAUUAUUGAAUGCAAGAUUCAAAGGACUG